rnacentral:lncRNA from 1 species
GGCAGAGCCCAGCCACCAGGGUCUGCUCCAUGCCUGGUCCCUGGAGAGGCCCUCACCCUCUCUGCUUUCACCCAACCCGACUGACACGGAGUAGGAGGUGGGAAUCAUGCAGGCAGGGAGCUUAGGAAGCCUGGUUCAAGAUUGCUUUGAAUGGCAGGCCCCCUGCUGUGCUCCUGGGGAGAGAGCCUGAAACCUGGAUGCUCGGGAGCCCCUCAGAUCCGUCAUCUGUCCCCGACACCCCUGUGGUGAGCCUUGCCACUGGGCCCUGAGAAGCUCAGAGCAGUCGAGUCAGGGCAGUGGGACAUGACCCAGGUCAGAUGUGGCUUUUCCGUAAUUGUACACCAAUGAUCAAGAGAAAAUGAAGGAUUUUAAUAUCACACACCUACACUUGAUGGCAGGGAAAUAAUUAUUUCCUGCAGAAUGGGCUGCAAAUGUAACAAACCCCCUGACCUUCAGUCUGAAGAGAGAGAACUAUCAACCACACAGAAGCAAAGAUCCAGAGAAAUACUGAGGGAUGCUACCAGACACUCAACCAGGGCCACUCUCCGAGAUUCCAGCCAGCCACACAGCAAAGAUGCUGGCCGGGGACACUGCCCCAAACCACCAGACAGAACCCCAAAGAAACAGCUCCACACACAGUGGAAGAUACACCAGAGACUGUUAGAAGGACCAUCAGACAAAGCCAAAGAGACAGGUAGAUGAAACCAGAUAACCAGCCAGAGAGGUGGUCAGAGAACAGCGACACAAUCAAAGGACCCACCAGAAACACUGUAAAGGACUCAGCUAGACCCAGGCAGAUACACUGCCGAAGGACGAGCAAGGAGCACAGGCAGUGAAGCCGUCGGCGACAAAGCCAGAGAGCUAAGACACUGUCAGAAACAGUGCCAGAGAAACCGUCUGACACACAAGCAGAGAAAUACCAGAGAAACUGAUAGACGCAAACAGGCGUACACCCAGAAAAACAGCUUGAGAGAAGAGCCAGAGCCACAGCCAGAUGCUCAGUCAGGAAGUAUCCACACCACUCCAAACACUGCCAGAGACACUGUCAGACACACAGUCAGACACACUGCCAGAGACACCGUUAUAAAGACUGCCAGAGAAACAGCCAGACACACAGCCAGAAAAACUGACAGAGACGCAGUGCCAGAUAUACCCCGAGAAAGUGCCAGAGACUCAGCUCCAGACAGUGCAGACAUAGCAUAACAGAGACAAAUGUGGGUAUCAGCCUGAAGCAGCUGCGGAGAGGCUGGAGAGCAAUGAACUUCCUGGGGCUUCCUGUGGGAGAGGGCUCCUGCCUGCCUUUUGCUACCCUUGACCCUCUCCAGGAAAGUCCCCUCCUCUGAGCCUGCUUUUCCUUUCCUCCCUGUCACAGCCACAGGUGCCCUGACUGCCCCUCCCUGGCACAGUAAAUCUCUCUGUGUCCUAAGUGGCCCCAGCUACCCUUUGCGCAUCAGUGACUCCUGGAGCCUUAGCUACCACUUGGCCUGGCUCCUUCUGACCCUCAGCCCCUCACCACUCUUCAGCUACUCCUCAGGCCUAGGAGGUUAAGACAAUGGCCAAAGUUACACAGCCAGCAAGCCGUGCAGCCAGGAAAUGAACCCAGGACUGCCUGAAUUCAGAGCUGGUGUAAGAGAGAGAAAACGAGACCAGCAGCCAGAGGCCUACCUGGUUCCCCAACCUCAGCCCUGGCCAGUCG